rnacentral:rRNA from 1 species
UACGUAGGGUGCGAGCGUUGUCCGGAAUUAUUGGGCGUAAAGAGCUCGUAGGCGGUGUGUCGCGUCGGCCGUGAAAACCUGCAGCUUAACUGUGGGCUUGCGGUCGAUACGGGCAUCACUGGAGUUCGGCAGGGGAGACUGGAAUUCCUGGUGUAGCGGUGAAAUGCGCAGAUAUCAGGAGGAACACCGGUGGCGAAGGCGGGUCUUUGGGCCGAUACUGACGCUGAGGAGCGAAAGCGUGGGGAGCGAACAGG